AAACUUUCAACAACGGAUCUCUUGGUUCUGGCAUCGAUGAAGAACGCAGCGAAAUGCGAUAAGUAAUGUGAAUUGCAGAAUUCAGUGAAUCAUCGAAUCUUUGAACGCACAUUGCGCCCGUCAGUAUUCUGGCGGGCAUUCCUGUUCGAACGUCAUU
rnacentral:rRNA from 1 species